AAUCUGUGUGACUGCGUACCUUUUGUAUAAUGGGUCAGCGACUUAUAUUCUGUAGCAAGGUUAACCGAAUAGGGGAGCCGAAGGGAAACCGAGUCUUAACUGGGCGUUAAGUUGCAGGGUAUAGACCCGAAACCCGGUGAUCUAGCCAUGGGCAGGUUGAAGGUUGGGUAACACUAACUGGAGGACCGAACCGACUAAUGUUGAAAAAUUAGCGGAUGACUUGUGGCUGGGGGUGAAAGGCCAAUCAAACCGGGAGAUAGCUGGUUCUCCCCGAAAGCUAUUUAGGUAGCGCCUCGUGAAUUCAUCUCCGGGGGUAGAGCACUGUUUCGGCAAGGGGGUCAUCCCGACUUACCAACCCGAUGCAAACUGCGAAUACCGGAGAAUGUUAUCACGGGAGACACACGGCGGGUGCUAACGUCCGUCGUGAAGAGGGAAACAACCCAGACCGCCAGCUAAGGUCCCAAAGUCAUGGUUAAGUGGGAAACGAUGUGGGAAGGCCCAGACAGCCAGGAUGUUGGCUUAGAAGCAGCCAUCAUUUAAAGAAAGCGUAAUAGCUCACUGGUCGAGUCGGCCUGCGCGGAAGAUGUAACGGGGCUAAACCAUG
rnacentral:rRNA from 1 species